rnacentral:rRNA from 1 species
UACGAAGGGAGCUAGCGUUGUUCGGAAUCACUGGGCGUAAAGCGCACGUAGGCGGAUGUGUCAGUCAGGGGUGAAAUCCCGGAGCUCAACUUCGGAACUGCCUCUGAUACAGCACGUCUUGAGUCCGAUAGAGGUGGGUGGAAUUCCUAGUGUAGAGGUGAAAUUCGUAGAUAUUAGGAAGAACACCGGUGGCGAAGGCGGCCCACUGGAUCGGUACUGACGCUGGGGCACGAAAGCGUGGGGAGCAAACAGG